GAUGAACCCAGAUGGGAUUAGCUAGUAGGCGGGGUAACGGCCCACCUAGGCGACGAUCCCUAGCUGGUCUGAGAGGAUGACCAGCCACACUGGAACUGAGACACGGUCCAGACUCCUACGGGAGGCAGCAGUGGGGAAUAUUGCACAAUGGGCGCAAGCCUGAUGCAGCCAUGCCGCGUGUAUGAAGAAGGCCUUCGGGUUGUAAAGUACUUUCAGCGGGGAGGAAGGCGACGCGGUUAAUAACCGCGUCGAUUGACGUUACCCGCAGAAGAAGCACCGGCUAACUCCGUGCCAGCAGCCGCGGUAAUACGGAGGGUGCAAGCGUUAAUCGGAAUUACUGGGCGUAAAGCGCACGCAGGCGGUCUGUUAAGUCAGAUGUGAAAUCCCCGGGCUUAACCUGGGAACUGCAUUUGAAACUGGCAGGCUUGAGUCUCGUAGAGGGGGGUAGAAUUCCAGGUGUAGCGGUGAAAUGCGUAGAGAUCUGGAGGAAUACCGGUGGCGAAGGCGGCCCCCUGGACGAAGACUGACGCUCAGGUGCGAAAGCGUGGGGAGCAAACAGGAUU
rnacentral:rRNA from 1 species